UUUCCUGCACCUCUGUCCAUUUCUCCAUGUGAGGAUACAAUGUCCAUCCUCACAUGGACAUUGCCUCAGAGGCAUGAGAACAGAGGUGGACCUAGCUUAGAUGGAUGAAAAACAGAGAAUAUCUGCACCUGGUCACACCUGGGCACCACAGUGGGUGUAUUCCUAUGGCUCCCACUCCAUCUUUAAAAGGGCCUCAGCUGGAUACAGCCCAACUGAGAAGAAAUUCAAAAGGAGUCAACACCACGGCCACUGACAAUCACAAAUAUCCCAAAGGAAGAAAUGUAGCAGUAUUUCCGGGGCAUCCUAUCCUGAGACCAAGACUGAAAGAAUUAGAGAUAGUUAUGAUCAUCAGGAAGGAUCUGAGGUGAAAUCGUUCUUCUGAAAGCUAACCUGGCAGGAGUUUUUCCAGUAGUGGGCAUUUAAGUCACCUGGGAAAGAGGGCUAAGGACACUCUCUCGCCUGGCUUCCAGUGACUCCGGCACAGUCCAGGUCAAUCUGUCUCUCUCAACCUUCAUUUUUGCAUGUUCUUCCAUCAGUGGAUCUCUAUGUUAUACUUCCACAAAUUAAAAUCAUUUGGUGAGAUUUUUCAAAACAACUACUGCCACAGCCUUACACUCGGCAAUUCUGUCUCAAAUGGUUGGGGUCAGGCUCUUGGGCUUCAAUAUGUUAAAGCUCCCCAGGUGAUUGUAGCAGCACUUCCUUAACUCCUAGUGCAAUGUCAUGCUCAUGGUAGGUUCUCAUUAAAUGCCAGCUAACACUGGUUAACAGUGUGCUGUGAAUCAAAUCAGGGCCAUUGCUUUUAAGUCUGUGCCAUUUGGAAUACACGCUAUUUGUAUCUCUGAGCAUUUUAACAGAACUUCAAGCCAUUUACAACUGCUCAUAUUGAGAAUUUUGCAGUUUUUCACAGCUCAGUUUUAUAGACUUCUAUGAGUCAUGUUACAUUCAGUAAACUUGCCUCAACAAGCUAAAAGAAAAUGCCAAAAAUUAGCACUCCCACUGUUCAGGAGAGUGUAUUUUGUCUUUCUAUAACUGCCUCAAUUCCAGCACUUAGCAGGAAGACAUUUAAAUCUUUAUUGUAUUCCUAUCUAUCAGAAAAAUAGAAGAAUUUACAAGUUUGACACUAAACAACCACAGAUGGAAGAUUUGAAGUAAGAUCACACAUUUUAUACUGAAGUCUAAUGUAGCUAUCAACAAAUGCAGACUGACACUUAGGACAGAAUCCAUCCGACCUCCCCUGUGGCUUUGGGGAGAAUGUAACAUAUUCAUUAAAGAAUGUCCUACAAAAUUUUCAAAUGUCAAAAUACAAUAUAAUUAUAUUGAGAAAAUCCUUUAAAUUUAGUAAUGGAAAUUUCAUAAUACUGCUGAGAGAGAAAAUUGCCAGUUUGUAAUUAUGCCUUUUUCUCCACAGGUAUCACUCAUUACAGAAACUAGAAUAACAUCAUGAUAAUAAGAGUGCUAAACAAGAAAGCAGGAAAAACAUAUGUACACAUAUCAGAUGACCUACAUUAUAAACAAAAAAUACUUUGUUCUCUAUUGCCAUGAUUUUUGUUUGUAUAUAAAUCUAUUUACAUACAUUUUGUAUAUAUUUGUAUACAAAUCUAUUUAUAUACAAACAAUAUAAGAAAGGCAGAAAGGCUUCUGAUUUAAACUUUAUUUACUGAUGAAAAUAUAUUUUAGAAAGCUUCUCAAUAAUACCCAGCAGCAGCCCCAUUCGGGUUUGCUUUGUUUGUUACGGGAAAUCCAAGUUCAGCCUCCUGGCCAGGCACUGAUAGUUGAACUCACCACAUACCACAAUCUGAACUUUUCUUCUCUUCCUCCAAAAUCCUCUUGCUAUGCUCACUACAACUUCUGUUCUAAAACAGGAGAACUUUCCUAUAUCUUUUACCACCUCUUAAAAUUCUCUCUUCACUUCCUAGCCUUAAGAAUCACCCGGGAAUCAUUUUAAGAUUCUUUUUCAAUGCCGGAGCCCUAGCCAAGACCAAUUAAAUCACAAUUUCUAGGUAUUUGUCAUAGACAUCAGUGGUUUUGAAAGUCCCCAGGUGAUUCCAAUGUACAGACCAUUUUGAGAACCAGUUGGCUAUUGGUUCUUUAAUAUGUUAGUUAUUUGCUAGUACUUUCAAAAUCCUUCCUUUUUUUGACAGGUGCCUGACAAAACUACAAUCCUUGAUCAACACUAGCCCUCUAGGAAAAAAGGCACACAACCAAGAGGCUGGAUCAAUUUGUACUCCUGAUUACAAAUAUCUAACGAACAUGCAAUAUUACCUGGACACCCUACUAUAGUUCUCUGGUAUUUUCACUCCUAGAGAUGUCUAUCUCAUACCUUCUAUUUUUUCAAACAUCUCUUAUUCCUUCCUCCUUUUGCUCUCAAAUGAUAAUCUCACUGAGAAUAUAAAAGUUAUCAAUCAUGAACUUUUUCAUCUUCACAAAACCCCACUUACAACCAACCUUCACCUGUAUUCAUUUUUGUCUUUUUUCUGGGGGGAAGGAGGACUUCUGUAUAAACAUUUACCUUUCCACUUGUGCUUUGGAACUACAGUUCUCCUUUAGGCAGCCCCUUUCCCUUCUACAUUGAUCUUGCUCUCACCACGGAAUCAUCCCCUUUGAAUAGGCCUUUUCUGAACACAAACAUGUUCUUACAUUUCAUAAGAAAACAAACCUCUCUUGAUCCCCAUCCCACUCGAACUGCUAUGUUAUUUAUCUGCUGCCUUUAUUAGACAAACACCUCAAAAGAGCUGUCUGCAAAAGCAUUACUUGACUUUCACUUUUAAACCCACUCUAUUCUGGCUCUCACGCUCAUCAUCCCCUCAGAAUCAGUCUCGUCUAGUUCACCACUGGCAACUUAUUUGUCCUCAUUUCAUUCAGCUGCUUAACAUUAUUCAACAUGGAUGGCCAUCUCCUCUUUUUUCAAAUACUAUAUUUUGGUUUUCAAGGUGUUGAAAUCUCAGGAUAUGUCUUCUUUUUUCCCUAUCAUUCCUUCUCAGUCUGCUUUUAUGCCUUCUCUUUGUUGAGAUAUCAGUGUUCCUCUGGGAUCCUGGACUUUCUUUUCUUCCUGGUUCAUGGUUCUCAGUUCCAGGAGCUGACCUCAUUAGUAUCAUGGCUCUAGCAAAAUUCAUAUGUUGAGAAAUACCAAUUUUAUUUAUCCAGUUCUCCGAGUUCAAACUGUUUGCCACUUCAUUUGAGUAUUUCAAAGAAACAUGAAGAUAAUAUACCUAAAACUAAACUCCUCACCUUCACUUCUAACCUGACUCUAGCCUUAUUUGUCUCAUACAAAGUGGUACCAACAGGUAAUGGCUGCUUAAGCCAAAAACCUGAAGUCAUUCUUUGAUUCCUCUCUUUGUCUUAUGGCGAAAGACUAUUACUAAGACUUCUUGAUUAAAUCUACCUCCAAAAUUAUAUCUUGACUCUUCUUGCCUCUUUCCAUCUCCACUGCUAUCAUUGUCACUCUUUUGACUACUUCAACAACCUCCUGAGUAGUAUCCCUGCAUUUACUCUUGCCCUAGUCAAUCCUUAAAAAGCAACAAAGGUUAUCUUUGUCAAACAGAUUGCACCUUCAUAUGACUGUCUUUAAAAUGCAUCUGAAGUUAUAAUGCAAUGUCCACUUCUUUACCAAGACCUAUAAUGACCUUUAUGAUCUAACUCCUGCCUGCCUUUCCUAUUUCUUGAGUACUAAGUUACAGUGACACUAGUCUCCUUUAAUUUCCUUGAAUUCCCCCAGCAUUUUCCCACCCCUGGGCUUUUGAACAUUCUGUAACCUCUCUUUAGAGAGUGUUUUUCUGUGAUCUUUAUAAAGUAUAUUUCAAGUAUUUAAAGAUCUAGCUUACAGCCAUCUUUGGAUUCUCAAUUUUUUUUUUUUUUUUGAGAUGGAGUCUCGCUCCGGCACCCAGGCUGGAGUGCAGUGGCACGAUCUGGUCUCACUGCAACCUCUGCCCCCCAGGUUCAAGUGAUUCUACUGCCUCAGCCUCCCAAGUAGCUGAGACUACAGGUGCGUGCCACCAUGCACGGCUAAUUUUUGUAUUUUUAGUAGAGACGGGGUUUCAUCACGCUGGCCAGGCUGGUCACCAACUUCUGACAUCAAGUGAUCCACCAGCCUCAGCCUCCCAAAAUUGUGUUCUCAAUUUUAACAAUGUUUUUGUUUUCUUUGUGUCACUUAUCAUUUGCAGUUUUUUUGUUGUUUGUUUUGUUUUGUUUUGCCAUUUCUCUCUGUUGCCCUUAACAGAAAUUAAGCUUCCUGAGGAAAGAGGCUAUAUUUAUCCUGACCACUUUGUAUGUCAAGCAUUUAGUAGAGUAACUAAAACAAUUCCUAGUACGGAAAGUGUACUUAGUAACUACCUGAGUUAAUGAAUGAGUGAAUGAAAGCAAGCAUUCCAAAAGUUCCCAAAUGCUUUAAGGACUGUUCUUAAAAGGUUGACUUAAGGGAGGAAAAAGACUUAAAAAAUAUUGUGUGUCUAUAUCUGUGUUAGACACUAACGUGUGUGUGUGUAUAUAUAUAUAUAUGUGCAUGUGAGUAUAUGUGAAGACAUACAUGAGUAUGUAUGUGUGUGUAUAUAUAUACAUAUAUAAAUGAAGAGAUAACAUUUAUACACAGAUUGUGAGCUAAAUGGAGAGAUAACAUGUAUACACACAUUGUGAGCUAUCUAGGAGAAACCAUUGACUAUUAAAAUGCCAUAAGCAUUCCAGCUACCACCCCCCAAAAUAUGAAUUGACAUUUUAAAGAUCUAAAAAAAAUACCGAAUUACAUGUGACCAAUAUUAGAAAGGAGCUAUACUUAACAUGUUACUUCAAUUCACUAGUGACACAACUGUUUUAUGGAACAUUUAUAUUUAUAUGAUAAAAAUUUAAUUUUUCCCAAAUGUCCAAAUUACAUUUGAAAACUAAUUUUUUAAUGUUUUGAGUAUAGUUAUUACUGACAUUAGUACUAAUAAGGGUAAACAAUAGGGGAAUUUAAAAAACUAAUUUAAAUGUAGGACAUUAGGAAUUAAAUUUUACUUUGGUUUCAAUGCUAAGAUAAAAAAUGUUACAGGACAUGUAAACUGUGAAAUAUGCCAUUUAAAAAGAUUUCUCUUAUAGCAGUAAUACAUAGCAAUAUGUAAAGGCCAACUAAUAUUUUUUGACCUUGUUGUUCUGCCAUUUACACGAUAUGGCAUUCCACCAGUGAGUAGAAGAUGUGGCAAGGGGUCAGAGAUGUUCAUGCCCUUGCCAUUUAAGAGCUUGACCUGUGAGUUGCUUAUACAGCACUACCAUUAACAUCCUUCUGGCCAUAACUGCUGGUCACAUGACCUCAGCAGGCUUCCAAAGAACCUGGGGAAUGUGCUUGUUAUUCUGGCCAUCCAUGUACCCAGUUAAAAUUUGGAGGAAAAGUGUUAAUGGAGAAAACUAGCAGUCACGACCACAGCUAUGAGAGAGCAGACAGAGUAUAUAUCACACAAAUACAACACAUUAGUAAACACUUAACUGAAAAACUGUUUCAAACAUUGAUUUCUAAUAAAGAAAAUAAUUGCCACUUUUCUUUGCUUACUUAUUUUAUUUUAUUUUUUUAAUUUCAAGAUUUUGCUCUUGUUGCCCAGGCCGGAGUGUAAUGGUGUGAUCUUAGCUCACUGCAACCUCCACCUCCCAGGUUCAAGAGAUUCUCUGCCUCAGCCUCCCGAGUAGCUGGGAUUACAGGUGCCUGCCACUACACCUGGCUAAUUUUCUGUAUUUUUAGAAGAGAUAGGAUUUAACUUGCCAGGCUGGUCUCAAACUCCUGACCUCAGGUAAUCCACCCGCCUCAGCCUCCCAAAGUGCUGGGAUUACAGGUGUGAGCCACCAUGACUGGCCUGCUUACUUAUUUUUAUAAAGCCAAAGACAAUAUUAAUUUUCAGACUAAAAUAUACGGUCACUAGGUGUUUCUUUUACAGUGAUAACUUCUAAUUAACCUAAGAAACAGAAUGUUAAAUUAGAAAAAAAAAUUCUUAAAGGCGUGCAGCUGACAUAUUUUACAGAAAUCUAUGGGAUUAAGAAUUUGUACCAUUUGUUCAAAGUAUCCUGAUUGCCAGCACAGAUUCAGAACUCAUAACUGAUCUAUCGGCUCUCAGGAUAUGAUUGUUGUACUAAAAUUACAGAUGUUUCUCAUAAGUGUGAGAAAGAUGUUAUGAAUCUCCAAGCAUGAAAGAUAUUCCCAAAUCUUAAGAGGGAGAAGAUGAAGGUUGAUGGAUUUCACACAAAGUAAAGUUGCAUAAAGUUACCA